UACGUAGGGUGCGAGCGUUGUCCGGAAUUACUGGGCGUAAAGAGCUCGUAGGCGGUCUGUCGCGUCGGCUGUGAAAACUCGGGGCUCAACCCCGAGCCUGCAGUCGAUACGGGCAGACUAGAGUGCUGUAGGGGAGACUGGAAUUCCUGGUGUAGCGGUGAAAUGCGCAGAUAUCGGGAGGAACACCUAUGGCGAAGGCAGCUCGCUACACGAAUAUUGACUCUGAGGCACGAAAGCGUGGGGAUCAAACAGG
rnacentral:rRNA from 1 species